UCAUUCCCAACCACACUGACAUGAAUAUCAAACGAACGGGAAUUGAAGAAGCUAUGCGAUGGUGCACACAUAACGAAUGUCAAACCAGGUGGCAAAAGGGUGUCACGUGACCUCACGUAUAAUUCGCUGGUCCAUGCGUUAUUCCCAACCAUAUUGACAUGGAUAUCAAAUGAACGGGAUUUGAAGAAGCUUUGCGAUGGUACACACGUAACUAGCGUCAAACCAGGUGGGAAAAUGGUGUCACGUGACCUGACGUAACUUUCUUCAGGCUCUCAUGGGUCAUUCCCAACCAUAUUGACAUGGAUAUCAAACGAACGGGAAUUCAAGAAGCUAUGCGAUGGUGCACACAUAACGAAUGUCAAACCAGAUGGGAAAAGCGUGUCACGUGACCUCACGUAUCUUUCGCUGG